CCCAAUGAUGGUUUUUAUGAAUUUCUUCAACGGAGCCCUUCAACUAAAAUGUUGGUUGGUGCGGGACGAGACUUGACAUACUGAGG